GUUUAGGAACAAAGAAAGUUGGGGUGAGGUGAACAGGAGAGAGAUUGGGUGACAGACUAGGCUGGUCAACUUAGCCCAUGUUGGUCUUCCUUGCAGGUAGUGGUGACCAAAUGAUCAAGAUAUGGACAACGAAAUGUUAAAGAAAAUUUCUGGGUGGGUCUUUGGAAAACCCUUUCUACAAGGAAUGACUCCAGCUGUCAUGGAACUUUGGAUUUUUCUCCAAAAUCCUAGGCAAUGUGUAGAUCCUCCCUGCACCCUGGUGUCCACUCCAACCUGACAGCCACUUCAGAGGUCCCUAUGAAACAUCUCAUGCCUCUCAGGAGUUGGGUCAUUUUCUGAUUCUGAUGGUGGUGGUGCUACUUCAGUCCAUGGCUUUCCCCCAGCUAACCUGACAGACAAGUGCAUCGUAAGUAAUACCACGUGUGGUCCUGUCCACCUUGCAGUCGUCUCACAUUCAGGCCCUUGUUUCCUCUGGUUUUGAGCAGGACUCAAUCUCCAGGUCAGAAAGGAUGUUAGAC